rnacentral:rRNA from 1 species
GACGAACGCUGGCGGCGUGCUUAACACAUGCAAGUCGAACGGUGAAGCCUUCGGGUGGAUCAGUGGCGAACGGGUGAGUAACACGUGAGCAAUCUGCCCUUGACUCUGGGAUAACUUCGGGAAACCGGAGCUAAUACCGGAUAUGACAUCUGGCCGCAUGGUCUGGGUGUGGAAAGAUUUAUCGGUCAAGGAUGAGCUCGCGGCCUAUCAGCUUGUUGGGGGGUAAUGGCCCACCAAGGCGACGACGGGUAGCCGGCCUGAGAGGGCGACCGGCCACACUGGGACUGAGACACGGCCCAGACUCCUACGGGAGGCAGCAGUGGGGAAUAUUGCGCAAUGGGCGGAAGCCUGACGCAGCGACGCCGCGUGAGGGAUGAAGGCCU